rnacentral:rRNA from 1 species
UGAUGCGAUCAUACCAGCACUAAAGCACCGGAUCCCAUCAGAACUCCGAAGUUAAGCGUGCUUGGGCGAGAGUAGUACUAGGAUGGGUGACCUCUUGGGAAGUCCUCGUGUUGCAUUCC